rnacentral:rRNA from 1 species
AGUGAACGCUGGCGGUAGGCCUAACACAUGCAAGUCGAACGGCAGCACAGUAAGAGCUUGCUCUUACGGGUGGCGAGUGGCGGACGGGUGAGGUAUACAUCGGAAUCUACUUUUUCGUGGGGGAUAACGUAGGGAAACUUACGCUAAUACCGCAUACGACCUACGGGUGAAAGCAGGGGAUCUUCUGACCUUGCGCGAUUGAAUGAGCCGAUGUCGGAUUAGCUAGUUGGCGGGGUAAAGGCCCACCAAGGCGACGAUCCGUAGCUGGUCUGAGAGGAUGAUCAGCAACACUGGAACUGAGACACGGUACAGACUCCUACGGGAGGCAGCAGAGGGGAAUAUUGGACAAUGGGCGAAAGCAUGAUCCAGCAAUACCGCGUGGGUGAAGAAGGCCUUCGGGUUGUAAAGCCCUUUUGUUGGGAAAGAAAAGAAGCAGGUUAAUAACCCGCUGUUCUGACGGUACCCAAAGAAUAAGCACCGGCUAACUUCGUG